rnacentral:lncRNA from 1 species
GGGCCUUUAGAUCUUCUUCCUUGGCUCUUCCUUCUUCUUCCUUCUCUCAAGGCAAUCAAGAGUUGAUUCAAAUGAGAAGAUAUCAGCCAUCAAAAGUCUUCUCUACAAGGGAGCUAGCACCCCGGGGAGAUUCAAAGACGCAGAUCGAUCCACUGCCUCGUGUGGAUACCUAUAGAAGCCGGACGUGUGUGCAGCUUCCAUCAAACCUCCAUCAAAUCCACGAAUAUCAGAUUUGCGGUGAUUAUCUACCCGCACAAGGUGAAGAUCUGAUCUUCCUAAUGAUUUAAAAUGAUUUAAAAGAAUUUAAUUCUAAUCUAUCUACGAACGAUGUUUUAAAAUAAGUUCAUGCGAUGAACGGGAUCUCGCGCAUGCCUUUCCGCUGCGCAUUGAAUUUUUCUAAAAUUUUCUACAGCGUGCGAGGGAUCCUAACACUUUGGCUAUCCAAAGGAUGUCAUUUUGUUAUCACAACAAUGAAUAGAAAUGACUUUGGCCUAUACUUUUUUGCCUCAUUCUGCUUGAGCUUGUGCGUGAGAAUGUUUGUUGAUCCACUAAAGUAGCAUAGAUCGGCUUUGCUCUCAAUCA